rnacentral:rRNA from 1 species
GAGUGGCGGACGGGUGAGUAACGCGUGGGUAACCUGCCCUGUACAGGGGGAGUAACAGUUGAAAACGGCUGCUAAUACCGCAUAAGCGCACAGUACCGCAUGGUACCGUGUGAAAAACUACCGGUGGUAUGAGAUGGACCCGCGUCUGAUUAGCUAGUUGGUGGGGUAACGGCCUACCAAGGCGACGAUCAGUAGCCGACCUGAGAGGGUGACCGGCCACAUUGGGACUGAGACACGGCCCAAACUCCUACGGGAGGCAGCAUG